UGACGCUGGCGGCAGGCCUAACACAUGCAAGUCGGGCGGUAACAGGGAUAGCUUGCUAUCUGCUGACGAGCGGCGGACGGGUGAGUAAUGCAUAGGAAUCUGCCUGGUAGUGGGGGAUAGCCCAGAGAAAUUUGGAUUAAUACCGCAUACGCCCUACGGGGGAAAGCAGGGGACCCAUUCUUUUAGGAGAGUGGACCUUGCGCUAUCAGAUGAGCCUAUGUCGGAUCAGCUUGUUGGUGAGGUAACGGCUCACCAAGGCGACGAUCCGUAGCUGGUCUGAGAGGAUGAUCAGCCACACUGGGACUGAGACACGGCCCAGACUCCUACGGGAGGCAGCAGUGGGGAAUAUUGGACAAUGGGCGCAAGCCUGAUCCAGCCAUGCCGCGUGUGUGAAGAAGGCCUUCGGGUUGUAAAGCACUUUCAGCGAGGAGGAAAGGGGUGCUGCUAAUAUCAGCGCCCUGUGACGUUACUCGCAGAAGAAGCACCGGCUAACUCCGUGCCAGCAGCCGCGGUAAU
rnacentral:rRNA from 1 species